rnacentral:rRNA from 1 species
GAUGAACGCUGGCGGUGUGCCUAAUACAUGCAAGUCGAGCGAACAGACGAGGAGCUUACUCCUCUGACGUUAGCGGCGGACGGGUGAGUAACACGUGGAUAACCUACCUAUAAGACUGGGAUAACUUCGGGAAACCGGAGCUAAUACCGGAUAACAUGUUGAACCGCAUGGUUCAACAGUGAAAGACGGUCUUGCUGUCACUUAUAGAUGGAUCCGCGUCGCAUUAGCUAGUUGGUAAGGUAACGGCUUACCAAGGCAACGAUGCGUAGCCGACCUGAGAGGUGGAUCGGCCACACUGGAACUGAGACACGGUCCAGACUCCUACGGGAGGCAGCAGUAGGGAAUCUUCCGCAAGGGGCGAAAGCCUGACGGAGCAACGCCGCGUGAGUGAAGAAGGUCUUCGGAUCGUAAAACUCUGUUAUUAGGAAAGAACAAAUGUGUAAGUAACUAUGCACGUCUUGACGGUACCUAAUCAGAAAACCACGGCUAACUACGU